ensembl:lncRNA
AGAGAGGCAAAAAUACUCUUACAGAGACAGGAGAGAAGACAAAACUAAGUAAAGACAGAGAGGAACAACAGGAAGCGCUUGAAUAGGGUCAUGAAAAUACGGCACAUGGUGAUGGGUGAGGGAUGAAGGAGGUUAGAGGAAGAAGAGGUCAGGAAGGAGAGAUGAGGACGGUCAGGAAGGAGAGAUGAGGACAGUCAGGAAGGAGAAAUGAGGACGGUCAGGAAGGAGAGAUGAGGACGGUCAGGAAGGAGAGAUGAGGACGGUCAGGAAGGAGAGAUGAGGACGUCAGGAAGGAGAGAUGAGGACGGUCAGGAAGGAGAGAUGAGGAGGUCAGGAAGGAGAGAUGAGGACGGUCAGGAAGGAGAGAUGAGGACGGUCAGGAAGGAGAUGAGGACGGUCAGGAAGGAGAGAUGAGGGCGGUCAGGAAGGAGAGAUGAGGACGGACAGGAAGGAGAGAUGAGGACGGUCAGGAAGGAGAGAUGAGGAUGGUCAGGAAGGAGAGAUGAGGACGGACAGGAAGGAGAGAUGAGGACGGUCAGGAAGGAGAAAUGGAGAAUGAGAAAGGAGGGGAAGGGGAUGAUGGAGGCAGAUACAUCCCAUAAUUAGCAUAGUAAUAGGAGAGUUAAAGGCCACACAAUGGGUCACUGUUGAGUCCAAGUUUUUCCAUUUGGAGACAAUGCACAAUAGAGUUGGUAUGAGCCCCAAACCACUCUAAUAGCCAGCAUGUAGCCCACCCCCCUCUAUUUUACCACCCCAGAGAACACACUCUCUAACUAAUAAAGUGGUAUUGCCUCAGGGCUUGAAGCUACAAACCAGUCCUCCCCACUCUGAACCUUUUCAUCAAGGUUAAGAGAUCCAAAUUGUGACCAUUUGUAUAGAUACUGUAAAUAGACUUUGUAUUCUGAGAGUAGAGCAGAGGAUUGAGAAGAGGAUAGAGAAGAGGAUAGAGCAGAGGAUAGAGAAGAGGAUAGAGAAGAGGAUAGAGCAGAGGAUAGAGAACAGGAAAGAGCAGAGGAUAGAGAAGAGGAUAGAGCAGAGGAUAGAGAAGAGGAAAGAUAAGAGGAUAGAGAAGAGGAUAGAGCAGGGGAUAGAGAAGAGGAAAGAUAAGAGGAUAGAGAAGAGGAUAGAGCAGGGGAUAGAGAAGAGGAAAGAUAAGAGGAUAGAGAAGAGGAUUGAGAAGAGGAUAGAGAAGAGGAUAGAGAAGAGGAUAGAGAAGAGGAUAGAGAAGAGGAUAGAGCAGAGGAUAGAGAAGAGGAAAGAUAAGAGGAUAGAGAAGAGGAUAGAGCAGGGGAUAGAGAAGAGGAAAGAUAAGAGGAUAGAGAAGAGGAUUGAGAAGAGGAUAGAGAAGAGGAUAGAGAAGAGGAUAGAGAACAGGAAAGAUAAGAGGAUAGAGAAGAGGAUAGAGCAGGGGAUAGAGAAGAGGAUAGAGAAGAGGAUAGAGAAGAGGAUAGAGCAGGGGAUAGAGAAGAGGAUAGAGAACAGGAAAGAUAAGAGGAAAGAGAAGAGGAUAGAGAAGAGGAUAGAGCAGGGGAUAGAGAAGAGGAUAGAGAACAGGAAAGAUAAGAGGAUAGAGAAGAGGAUAGAGCAGGGGAUAGAGAAGAGGAUAGAGAAGAGGAAAGAUAAGAGGAUAGAGAAGAGGAUAGAGAAGAGGAUAGAGAAGAGGAUAGAGAAGAGGAUAGAGCAGGGGAUAGAGAAGAGGAUAGAGAAGAGGAUAGAGAAGAGGAUAGAGAAGAGGAUAGAGAAGAGGAUAGAGAAGAGGAUAGAGCAGGGGAUAGAGAAGAGGAUAGAGAAGAGGAUAGAGAAGAGGAUAGAGAAGAGGAUAGAGAAGAGGAUAGAGCAGGGGAUAGAGAAGAGGAUAGAGAAGAGGAUAGAGAAGAGGAUAGAGCAGAGGAUAGAGAAGAGGAUAGAGCAGGGGAUAGAGAAGAGGAUAGAGAAUAUGAUAGAGCAGGGGAUAGAGAAGAGGAUAGAGCAGAGGAUAGGGAAGAGGAUAGAGCAGGGGAUAGAGAAGAGGAUGGAGCAGGGGGAUAGAGAAGAGUAUAGAGCAGGGGGAUAGAGAAG